GAUGAACGCUGGCUACAGGCUUAACACAUGCAAGUCGAGGGGAAACGACGGGGAAGCUUGCUUCCCCGGGCGUCGACCGGCGCACGGGUGAGUAACGCGUAUCCAACCUGCCUCUGACUGAGGGAUAACCCGUCGAAAGUCGGCCUAAUACCUCAUGGUAUCGUCUGCGGGCAUCCAACGACGAUUAAAGAUUUCAUCGGUCAGGGAUGGGGAUGCGUCUGAUUAGCUUGUUGGCGGGGUAACGGCCCACCAAGGCUACGAUCAGUAGGGGUUCUGAGAGGAAGGUCCCCCACAUUGGAACUGAGACACGGUCCAAACGCCUACGGGAGGCAGCAGUGAGGAAUAUUGGUCAAUGGGCGAGAGCCUGAACCAGCCAAGUAGCGUGCAGGAAGACGGCCCUAUGGGUUGUAAACUGCUUUUAGGCGGGGAUAAAGUGAGGGACGGGUCCCUCAUUGCAGGUACCGCAUGAAUAAGGACCGGCUAAUUCCGUG
rnacentral:rRNA from 1 species